rnacentral:lncRNA from 1 species
UGACAUGGCAGGCUAAAAUGUCAUCAAGUAUGAAGAUGCAGGAGGAGCAGGGCUUGAGCUGUGUACAUUAACCAGCACCACUACUACUACCACCACCACUACUAUCUACGCAAGAAUGUGUGUCAGUGUUCAGUUCAGUUAGUCUAAGGCUAGGUGAACUUGGGCGGCCCUCGCCGCUCGCCGAGCAUGUGCUCAAGCAUCCGGGGGCGGCGACAAGAGGCGAUCAAUCGAUCGGUCGAGUGAAAUUCUUUGGUUCAUUUGUAUGCUUUGUUGUAGUUUCAUUGUCUUCUGCAAAGUUGUAGGCGUGUGUUGGGCGUCCAUGGUGAUGGUGUCGCUUGUAAUGUUGGGGGUGGCAACUUCACCUUUUCUAGCAUUUCCACAAGUUAUGGGUCUUGUAAAUUCCAAGUCUCAAUAAAGGGAACACAAACUUGCCUUUUUGUACAGAACAAUCAUACUACUUGUCUUUGGUUUCCCAACAUUUUCAUGCUCUGGUUGAAUGAACAAGACUCCAAGGUGAGAUAAUGCAGAUAUUGACCAGCUAGAAAUCGAGCGUUCUAUGAUGAAAAAAUAUAUGAUUUCGAAGAAGAAAUUCGAGAUGCAUUAUGAAAAUAGUAUAUGAUGAAAAACCAUGUUUUAGAAAAAAGAUUACUACUCAAAUCCAGACACAUUCAUAUCCAAGAAGAGAGAGAUGGUUUUACAAUAUUGAUAAAACCAGAUCUAUAACAACAAAGCUCUCUGUUUGAUAAAAGGACCCUGCGAAACCAAAUUGGCAGUAAGCAGUGAGAAGUCAAGUCAAGCGUUUGCGCGUGAAGGAGAUGCGAAAGGGACAUGAACCUUCGAUGUUUGCCGAUGAUACCGGUUCCAUCUUCCCUAAGCAAAAAAACAGAGCAUGGAAGCAAAGGAGAGCAUCAUUGAUUCGUUCCAAAUGUGAACCCAACAAAGAAAACUAUUCCUUACCCCAUGGAGGGUGCUAAUGAAGAUGAGGUGCUAACGAAGAUGAGUCAUCCGAUGGUUUCACACUAAAACAUCACCAUCAUCUAUAGCCCCUUUGGAUGCUAAAGGGAAGAGGUUUAGCAGGAAUAUGCAUGGACCGAGAUCCAGUUUCCUGGUAAGAAUCCAGGUGAAGAAUGUGUAUUAUUAUUUUGCAGAGAGCAAUCCGUCGAAGGAUCUUACAAAUUAUUUCUUUUUACGGUCGUGCUCAUUCUCAGACAAUAAAUCUAAUUCAACUCAAUAACCGUCUAAUUAUACGCGGAUAUUCGUAUAGAAUUUCACUUUUUGCGGUUUUCUUGUCCAUUCAUCGGUACAUGUUUUAUCUCGUUAUUAAUUUUACGGAUUUUUUUCUUGUUCAGUGAGAAAAACUUCUACAUGUUGUGCAUCAAUGCAGUUUGUUGGGGAAUUUGGACUCUCCAAAACAUAGUAAACUUUGAAGAUCAUGUUUGCGCUCUUCUAUGGAAGUUAUUGUCGUUGUGUGUUCCUUUUUGUCGUACUAGUCAGGUGAGGUUAAACACGGAUAUAGAGCUCUUAUUCGAGGAGGUGUCAAGAUGUCAACGGGCAAAAGCACCUUGCCCGUGGCUGCCCGCGCCGGUGCCGUGCCGGCGACGGCGGCGGCGCCCUGCUCCUCGGGGGAAAACCUACGGGGGCCGGUGCUGCCCCGCCUCCUGGACAGGGCCUCCCCCACGCCUGGCAUCUUGGGCCCCGGCCCCGCACGGUCUCUGGGCCCCGAGGCUGUCCGGUCUGCCCUCCAGCUGGGCCGGCCCACGGGAACUGGCCCACUAGGGUGCCCUAGGCCCAGGGCGGUGGCCUCCCCCAUUUGGCUCCCCUUUGGUCUCCCUCGGCUCCCAGUUCCCUCCCUUGCCGCCACCGCCAGCUCCUUGUCCAUCCUCCCCUCGCUCUCCCCCGCCGCUGCGCCUUCCUCCCCUUCUCUCCGUCCGGCCGCGGAGUCCCCCCCGCCCCCUCCUCCCCUGCCGCAGCUAGCUAUGCCACGGGAUUGGGACGACGGCGCCCCCAGGAUCAAGCGGAGGGCGGACGACCACCGCGAUUCCUCCCGCCCUUCGCCGGACGCGCUCUGGCGCGAGGAGCUCCGCCGGGAGCUCCAUGAGCUCCGCGAGGGCCGUCGCGACGACCGCCGCUCCCCAACCGCCGUGAGGGUCGGGGCCGCUCCCGUUCUUCUCGCCCGUCUGCCUCGGGGGACUGGCGUGCUCGUCGCCGGUCCCCUUCCCCUGCGCCUCACCACGGCAGGUCCUCCUCCCCGCCCCGGACGUCGCGUCCCGCCUCCCCUCGCCACCAAGGCCGCCCCCGGCCCCUGCUACUCGGCGCUUUGUGCGGCCCCACACGCCUGUUCCCGCGGCCCUGGCUGCGGCAACAGCCAUGGGCGGUGGCGCUGCUCGCGGGCGCUCGGGUCCGGCCAAGAAGAAGAAGUGUCAUGGCGCUCGUGGCGCCCCGCCCGCGCCCCCCUCCUGGCGGCCCCGGGAUUCUCGUCCGUGCCCGGCCCCGUCUCUGGCCUUCCCCGCCCCCCUGCUUCAACUACGGGGUGGCUGGCCACUCGCAAGUUGAUUGUGUCAACCCCCGGUGCUGCUACCUCUGCAAGGAUCAGGGCCACCCCGCCCUCCUAUGUCCGGAUAGAUCGGUGGUGUCGCAGCUCAUGAUGUAUGGCCAUGGCAUCGAGGGGUUGGGAUUCUUCCACCUCGAGGUCCCCGACGUGCCGCCUCCCACUCCCACUCUCCAGGCGGUCGUCAUGGUGGUCGACGGGGUGGCUUCCCCGGAGAUGAUUGAGGCCGAGCUCAACCACCUCUACCGGCGCCAGUGGGACUGGGUGGUCACCCCCACCGCUGGCCACAUCUUCUCCGUCGUCUUCCCCGACUCCAUCAGCUACGGCUACGCCACUCGCAGUGGCCGGAUCACGCUCGCCCUCAACCAGCUUGUCGUCGACAUCUUUGAGCCGAUCCUCGAUGCGUAGGCCGUGGCCGUCCUCGACAACGCCUGGAUCCUUGUGGCCGGCCUCCCCGAUAUUGCUCGGUCAGAGCUCGUCAUCCGCUAGAUGUCCUGGAUCUUGGGCAAGGUGGUGGUCGUCGAUGAGCUCUCACUGCGCAAGGAGGCGGAGGUCCGGGUCAAGGUCAAGUGCCUCGACUCCUCCAAGCUCCGAUCCACCAUUUGAGUGUUCUUCAAUGACCAGGGCUUUGACCUCCGGAUCGCCCCCGAGCCCCCCAACCACGUCGGCCGCCCCCGUUCCCUCGACGUUGGCCCUCCCGGUGGCAACCCGGGGNNNNNNNNNNNNNNNNNNNNNNNNNNNNNNNNNNNNNNNNNNNNNNNNNNNNNNNNNNNNNNNNNNNNNNNNNNNNNNNNNNNNNNNNNNNNNNNNNNNNNNNNNNNNNNNNNNNNNNNNNNNNNNNNNNNNNNNNNNNNNNNNNNNNNNNNNNNNNNNNNNNNNNNNNNNNNNNNNNNNNNNNNNNNNNNNNNNNNNNNNNNNNNNNNNNNNNNNNNNNNNNNNNNNNNNNNNNNNNNNNNNNNNNNNNNNNNNNNNNNNNNNNNNNNNNNNNNNNNNNNNNNNNNNNNNNNNNNNNNNNNNNNNNNNNNNNNNNNNNNNNNNNNNNNNNNNNNNNNNNNNNNNNNNNNNNNNNNNNNNNNNNNACUCCCGCUCUCCGUCCCCCUCCCCCCUCCUGCAGCUGGGGGCAAGGGCCGCCAGGCCGCGCCCAGCCAGCUCCUCGACGGCCCUUCGAACUCGGUGGCUACGUCAUAUCCAGUGUCGGCCUGGUCAUCUGCCCUGCUUCCUUCCCUCGCUCUCCUACCUCGCCGACUCCUGUCGCGCAGGUCCCGGUGUCGGGCCAGCCCCCGGCGUCGCUCCGACCCCCAGCCUGCUCCUGCCGACUUCGGUGGUGGCCCCCGAGGAUGCUGUGCCACCAGAGGAGGAUGCCCCUCCUUCGACUUCCCUUCCUACGAUCGCACAGCCUCCUCCGGUCGCGUCGCCGACUCCACCGCCGCUCCCCCUAGUGGUCCCGGCCUCGUGCAGCUCUGCUCCCCCUUCGUCCCUGCUGUGUUCGUCACCGAGCGCUUCUCCGGCUCCAUUGCUCCUCGGCUGCACCGGGUCUGCUCUGCUGGCUCCACCCGCGGAGGCCCUGGCCACGGAUGGGGAGGCACGGGUGACCACCCCCAUGGCCGCCCAACCUCCCCCUCCACGGUCUGCGGCAUACUCUCGUCGCGGUCGGUCGGCCUCCUCCUCGGUGGUCGCGUCCCGUCGGAGCGCUAGGCUGGAUGCCGCUCACCCCGAGGGCAGUCCGCCUCUGCCCAUCCCCGAGCGGGCGGAGCUCCGUGCUGCUGCUCGGAACCUGGAGCCAGGUACACCUGCCGUUCCCCCUUCGGCUUCGUCGUGUUCCUUCUUUGCCCUCGAGUCUAUUCCCCUCGGCAACCUCGCGAAGGUUGCUUCAGACCCCGCCAUCAUCUUUAGGGGGGAUGUUGGUCCCCCCUUAGUCCUGAUCGAGGCUAUUAGGGCCCGCGAGAUUCUUGACAAAUGGCUUGCGUAGGCCCGUGCGACCUGUCUUUUGCCUCUCGUCCCCUCCGUAGCCGACGAGACUUCUUCCCCUGCACCCUCGAGGCGGACUGGUGGCCUUCUCCCGCUUGCGGGAGCUGAAAUCCGUUGCCGCACCCGCUCCCGCACCGCGACCCUCCGUGCUCAAAGCGCUUCUCGAGUCCUGGGGUCAAGCAGCCCCCUAAUGGCGUCGUAAUGCGUGCCCUCUUCUGGAACAUCCGUGGUUUUGGCCAUGAUGGCUAACUACUGGAAUACAUGCGUGAUGAACACAUUGACAUUAUGGCGAUCCAAGAAACCAUGCGCUCCGAAUUCUCGCUUCCUGAGCUUGACUGCCUGAGCUCCCACCUCUUUGUGUGUCAUUGGCUCCCUUCUAGUGGGAGCGCCGGCCACUCGGGGGGCAUCCUUUUAGGCGUUAAGGACGCCACCUUUGAGGUGGGUAGCAUGGAUCUGGGGGAAUUAUUUGUGAGCAUGGAGCUGUUCGAGAGGUCCCUUAACUUCAAGUGGGAGGUCAUCAUCGUCUACGGGUCGGCAGACCAUAGUCGGUCUGCCGCCUUCCUCGAGGAGCUCCACCAGAAGAUCUCCGCGGCUUCUCUUCCAGUGGUAGUUGGAGGCGAUUUUAACCUCCUUCGCGUCACGGAAGACAAGAGCAAUGCUAAUGUCAACUUUACGCGGAUGCAAAUGCUCAAUGACUUCAUUGCUGAUCUUGGUCUCCGCGAGAUUGAUAGGAUCGGUGCUAGGUUCACCUGGACCAAUCGGCAGGCCUCCCCGACCCAGUCCGUCUUGGACAGGGUCCUAGUUUCCCCGGAUAGGGACCUCCGUUGUCCCUUAGCUUCCCUUCGAGCCAUCACCCGGAUUGGCUCGGACCAUGUCCCGCUUCUCCUGUCCUCUGCAGAUGAGCGCUUGCCGAUUACUCCUAGAUUCCGGUUUCAGACCUUCUGGCUCUCCCAAACCGGGUUCGUGGAUGCCGUUGCCGCUCGUUGGGUCGAGGCCCACGCCCACGCUCACCCCGUCCCCCUUCGGCCAUUGAUUCAUGGCACUUCUGUGUGAAGCGGGGACGGUAGUUCAUGAAAGGGUGGGGUGCUAACCUGGGCCACGACCUCCGCGAGUGCAAAAGGGCGUCGUUGACCGCGAUUCAAGCUCUUGACUUGCGUGCGGACACGGUGGGUCUUUCUCCGGACGAGUGGCUCUCCCGUUAUGACCUUGAAGAUCAACUUUCUGUCAUCUACACCGAUGAAGAGGCCUAUUGGCGCCUUCGUGGUGCCCAGAAAUGGGUCUUGAAGGGUGACGCGAAUACGGCCUACUUCCAGGCCAUUGCUAACGGCCGUCGUAGACGCAACACGAUCCCCCUCUUGUGGGAUGGUGAGAUCCUCCUUCAAGCCCCCCUCUCCCUGGCCCCCGAUUGCUGGUCCGGGCCCCAAUUGGUCUCUGAUUCGGAGAACGCAGGCCUUAUGGCCCCCUUCCUCGAGCGCGAGGUUUGGGUUGUCAUCAAGGGCAUGAACCCAUCCUCGGCGCCGGGACCUGACGGUCUCCCGGUUAAAUUUUUCCAUACCUUCUGGAACGUGAUUAAACCGGAGGUCGUGGCCAUCUUCGGCGAGUUCUAUGUGGGCUCCCUCGAUCUCGGUCGCCUCAACUACGGGAUCAUCUCUCUCAUCCCCAUGGUUCCUGGUGCUUCCGACAUCCGCCAUUUUUGCCCGAUCACGGUCAUUAACGUGAUCUUCCGGAUCCUUGAGAAAGGUUAUGCCAAUAGGGUGACCCUGCUUGCUGACCAUGUGACCCACCCCUACCAGUCCGCCUUCAUUCAGGGCCGAUAUAUCUUGGAUGGGGUCCUAGUUCUUCAUGAAGUCCUCCAUGAGGUCCACGCCAAACACCUCAAGGCGGUUUUCCUGAAGAUUGACUUCCAUAAGUCCUAUGAUACGGUGAGAUGGCCCUUCCUUCGGGAAGUUCUGCUUCGGAAGGGCUUAGAUGACCGGUGGGUCACUAGGGUCAUGCAGAUGGUCUCAUGCGGUCGCACGGUCGUGAACAUCAACGGCGAUAUUGGCCCUUUCUUCCCCACCCUUUGUGGGGUUCGACAAGGCGACCCCUUCUCCCCAUUCCUGUUCAAUAUGGUCGUGGAAGCGCUUGCCACCAUCCUAGAUAAGGCGAAGGCUGCUGGCCAUAUCCGUGGGAUCACCCCCCACCUCGCCGGAGGCUCCGGGAUCUUCCUCCUCCAGUAUGCUGACGACACCAUCAUCAUGGUCGAAGGCUCGGAGACGGACAUCUCCAACCUCAAGUUCCUUCUCCUCUAUUUCCAACAAAUGUCUGGCCUCAAGAUUAACUUCGACAAGAAAGACAUUAUGGUGAUGGGCUACUCUCUCGCGGAGUCUUUGGCCAUUGCCAACUGGCUUAACUGCCGCCUGGGCUCCUUUCCCACGACCUACUUGGGUACGCCCAUUAGUGACUCCCGACUCACCAUCGCGGACUUGCGCCCGUCCGUGGCCAAGAUCCAUACGCGCAUCGAGCCAUGGAAGGGGAGGUGGUUAUCUAAGGCGGCCCGGACUAUUCUCAUUAACUCUUACCUCUCUAGUCUCCUCUUGUUCCUCAUGAGCUUCUACAGCCUCCACGAGACCCUUCACCAUGAUAUCGCUACGAUCCAGUCUCGGUUCUUCUGGGCGGGAGACAGUGAUAAGCAGAAAUAUCAUAUGGUUAGUUUGCUGGACAUUUGCAAGCCCAGGGAGCAAGGCGGCCUUGGCAUUAUGUGCUCUAAACGGAUGAAUAUCACCCUCCUUUCCCGUUGGCUUUGGCGCAUCUCGCAAGGUCAUGGUGGCCUCUGGCUCGACAUCAUCCAGAACAAAUACCUGCGCAGACAGCCCCUCGCCUUUUGCCAGAGAUCUGGUGGAUCCCAGUUCUGGCAAUCGGUUGUCCAGCUCCUUCCGGUUCUCCGUAUUGGGACCUCCAUCUCGGUCGGCUCCGGAGCUUCAACUUUGUUCUGGUUUGAUCGCUGGGCCGGAGACACCCCCUUCGCAGCGCGCUUUCCCGGCCUCUUCUCCAUCUCCGUCGAUCCUGUGAUCUCUGUCGAGAGGGCCCUUAUUGACUUAGGGCGCCUCGCUUUCUGGAGGCCGUUUGGGCCCCCGAAAUCCGCCGCUUGGUGUGAGUUACUCGACUGUGUUUCCCUCCACGAACCUAUGGUGGACGGUGGCCCUGACCAGGUGCGUUGGCGCCUGGCGCCUUCGGGCCAGUUCUCCACCAAGUCUUUGUACCUGGCCAUCGCCCCCUCUUCCGCCCCUCCCCUCUCGAUGGCGUGGUCCAACCGCCUGCCUCUGAAGAUCCGUAUCUUCAUGUGGCAAUGGAUUUACGGUCGGGUCCCGUCCGGGGUCGAGGUUCGCAAGCGAAAUGGCCCGGGCUCUGGCCUCUGCCCGCUUUGCGGUGUCCCCGAAGACUUGAAUCACAUAUUCUUCUCCUGCGUGUCCGCUCAGUUCAUUUGGAGCUACUUUCAUGAAGCAGUCGGUGGAGAUUGGUGCCACACCAACUUUCCCGACUUACUGGCGAACUCCAGAUCUCCCCCUUGACGUCUCGCCACAUUAGGUGGCUUGAGAUUGGGGUCAUCGCUUGGACCCUCUGGACGAUCCGCAAUAAGCUUGUGAUCCAGCGCACUCCUCUUCGGUGGGCUACUGACGCUCUCUUCAAACUUUCGGGUUUCUUGCAGCUUUGGCGGCCGCUUAGCCGUCCUCAAGACCGCGACUCCAUCUCCGCCUUCAUCGCCGACCUCCGCUCAAUGGCCGUCCGUCUGUCGCCGCGGCCCCCGCCGCCUCUGCCGGAACCAGACUAGACGCUCUCCCCUCCGGCUGUUUUCUUGUGUUUUAUUCCUGGGCUUGUUGAGCUCUGCCCUCAGCAGAACCUUUAUACUAUGUUGUGAGACUUGGGUGUGUGUGUGUGUGGACUAGUCCUUGUAUGUGUGCUCUCUGGCGGUUCGCUUAUUUAUAAAGCGGGGCGAAAGCCUUUUUCGGUAAAGCACCAAGCCGUCAGGGUUGAUGAGGAUUUUAUGGCUUAUCUCGAGUCUGCCGCAUUUCUAAUGCGUGAAUAAAAGCUUCUACUUUUAUCUUGCUAUGUGUUGGCUUUGUUAUCUCGGGUUAGGAAAAUUGUGCUUGGGCGGCUUGACAUGGUAGUCAUCUAUCGACAAGCUUGGGGAGGGCCGCGUGGAGAAGUGCGCGUUGCACCACAUGAGACACCCGCGAGAGUGACGGUGACCCGUGUAGGGAAGAGUGGUGGCCCUUCGUUGACGAGGCGCGCGAACGGUCCACACACUUCCGAUCGGCUGCUCCACUAGUGUGGCGGAUGAUGACACAUGUGGAUCUGCCCCUCCUGGUGUAAAUUGGUGGUAAUGCGAGGGGCAGGGUCCGUCGGUGCGGGGCUUGAUCUCGCUGCUGCCACACCUCAUCGAUGUCGGCAUGGGUGAGAUCCAUUUGUUGGCGGAGGUGGGAGUGGUUGCUGGAGACCUGCUCAUUGAAGGCGAGUUGCAUCUCCAGAUGUUUGGCUUCCAGAUGUACUGACAUGGGACCUUGUCAUGAGGGAUAAAGGUGCAUCAGGAGUAGAGUUUCAGAUGUGUACAUUAGCCAAUCAUACUACUACCACCACUACUAUCUAUCUAUCUACUUCAGAAUGUGUGCGUGUUCAGGUCAGUUAAGUCACAUGAAGGUGUAAGGCAACUAGGUGAACUUGGGUGGCCCUCGCCGCUCGCCGAGCAUGUGCUCAAGCAUCCGCGGGCGACGACAAGAGGCGAUCGAUUGAUCGGUCGAGUGAAAUUCUUUGGUUUAUUCGUAUGCUUUGUUGUAGUUUCGUUAUCUUCUCCUGCAAAGUUGUAGGAUUGUGUUGGGCGUCCAUGGUGAUGCUGUCGCUUGUAAUGUUGGGGGUGGCAACUUCACCUUUUCUAGCAUUUCCACAAGUUAUGGGUCUUGUAAAUUCCAAGUCUCAAUAAAG